GCUGCUUUAGCUCAGUGGUUAGAGCUUCUGCUUUACAAUCAUACCACCUGCUCAAGGAAUGUGUGCGCAGGAGGUCGCAGGUUCGAUCCCUGCAAGCAGCA